rnacentral:tmRNA from 1 species
ACAGGUUUCGACUGAGGUCUGUUUCGGCAGGAGAAGCGGGUCGAGUUCAGGUAACUCGUUAAACUAUCUGGAAAAAAUAAACGCAGAAGAAAACUACGCACUAGCCGCUUAAUUGCGGCUACGCCAAACUAGAGAUCGCCCACAUCUCUAGCACGGCGUCAUCUUAGUGGGCUGACCUCACCCGGACGCCCAUAAGGGUAGAGGAAAAACUAAUGGGCUAGCGAGCGGUCUAUCCAGCCUGUGUGGAUGCCAAUCGCGAAUCUUUAACACAGGAUACGCUCGUAGAUGCUCCUGUGGAGAUGCCUGAGGACGUGGGUUCGAUUCA